GGCAAGGGAGGGGUUUCUCUAGCACCAAGCAGUUCUCCGGACACCAGCUGGAUGUCCCGUAAUUCAGCUCAAUUCUGACACUCUCUCUCCUAAGGUAGCAUCACGUCCCACAGGUUAAGGGCUCAGUCCCCUAAGAUCACCUGUCCCUAAACUCCAGGCACCAGUCACCGUCCAGGUUGUUUCCUGUGCUUCCGACCAACCGGUUACAAAUGAGAGGUUCCAGCCACCCUGUCCCAUUUAGGACAACCAGUUGCAAGCCCAGGUUACUACCUGUGCUAGCGAAACAGGUAGCACAGCCUGAGCGGAGAGUGCGAAGUGGGGGAGAGGUACUGGAGAUGGGAGGACGAGAGGGAAGAAAUGAAAUAAUCAUGAUGACCGGCUUGGGGAAAUGUGGUGGAACUCAGGAUCCGGGCCCAGGAGGCUCCCAUAUCAGCAAAUUUCUCAUAUUUUAUGGACUGCAGGGUCAAGGCGAAGGCGCGGCUGUGAGAAGAGCUUUGAUCUGCCCGAGCGUCGGGACACGUGGCGGGUCAGCUCUGCGCCGGGGGCUUUGA
rnacentral:lncRNA from 1 species